rnacentral:rRNA from 1 species
GACGAACGCUGGCGGCGUGCUUAACACAUGCAAGUCGAACGGAAAGGCUCCAGCUUGCUGGAGUACUCGAGUGGCGAACGGGUGAGUAACACGUGGGUAAUCUGCCCUGCACUCUGGGAUAAGCCUUGGAAACUGGGUCUAAUACUGGAUAUGACCUUUCUCCUUAUGGGGUUUGGUGGAAAGUUUUUCGGUGUAGGAUGAGCCCGCGGCCUAUCAGCUUGUUGGUGGGGUGAUGGCCUACCAAGGCGACGACGGGUAGCCGGCCUGAGAGGGUGAUCGGCCACAUUGGGACUGAGAUACGGCCCAGACUCCUACGGGAGGCAGCAGUGGGGAAUAUUGCACAAUGGGCGGAAGCCUGAUGCAGCGACGCCGCGUGAGGGAUGACGGCCUUCGGGUUGUAAACCUCUUUCAGCAGGAACGAAGCGUAAGUGACGGUACCUGCAGAAGAAGCACCGGCUAACUAUGUG